CAAAGGCAUCUGAGUGGUAAGAGCAUCCGGAGCCCAGGACUGCUGAGUCAACCCUCUGGAAUGCCCACAACUCCCCACAGGCCAGCCGGCCUUGGGACUCCCGCACAGCCACGUGAGCCGGUGGAGCCGGGUCUGUUUGCUAGUGGAGGCUGUUAACAGCACGGGAAGUGGUCAAGGGUUCAACAAGAGAUGAGCCAUCUGGUCCUCCAGAGGUGGAGGAGGCACGUGACCCACAUGGUCUGGCCACUGAUGACUGAACAAGCUAUGGACACCGGACCCCGGAGAGACCAUUCACUCACUGGCCACGAACAUGAGUUCAGAUACAUGCCCCAAAAGGAUGAGCCUGGGUACUGGAUUCCCUCCCUCAGAAACGUGAAUCAAGAGACACAGGAUGUUCCUGUUGGUCCAGAUACUUGAGCUAAAAGGUGAUGGAUACCUGGAUGUGGGGUGGUCAUUCUGGGGAGUACGUCCAUAUAGAAAGAGGAGCAGGUGCUGUGGGAUUCUGGAUCCCAGUGAUAGAGCUAAGUGGCUGGAUCAAGCUUCACCUGAAACCCACUCUACUUGUCUUAGUCCAUUUUGUGUUGCUAUAAAAGAAUACCUGCAACUGGGUAAUGUAUAAAGAAAAGAGACUUAUUUCA
rnacentral:lncRNA from 10 species